UACGUAGGGUGCAAGCGUUAAUCGGAAUUACUGGGCGUAAAGCGUGCGCAGGCGGUUGUGCAAGACAGAUGUGAAAUCCCCGGGCUCAACCUGGGAAUUGCAUUUGUGACUGCACGGCUAGAGUGUGUCAGGAGGGGGGUAGAAUUCCACGUGUAGCAGUGAAAUGCGUAGAGAUGUGGAGGAAUACCGAUGGCGAAGGCAGCCCCCCUGGGAUAACACUGACGCUCAUGCACGAAAGCGUGGGGAGCAAACAGG
rnacentral:rRNA from 1 species